rnacentral:rRNA from 1 species
AACGUAGGAGACAAACGUUAUCCGGAGUUACUGGGCGUAAAGGGCGUGUAGGCGGUUUGUUAAGUCUGGCGUGAAAGCUCUCGGCUAUACCGGGAGAGGUCGUUGGAUACUGGCGAACUAGAGGAUGGUAGAGGCGUGUGGAAUUCCGGGUGUAGUGGUGAAAUGCGUAGAGAUCCGGAGGAACACCAGUGGCGAAGGCGACACGCUGGGCCAUACCUGACGCUAAAGCGCGACAGCAUGGGGAGCAAACGGG